UCCAAGGGGAUUAUUUAUUUUUUCACAGUAUUAAGAGUUUUGGAGCUUUGCCAAACCAUAAGCCCAGGCGGUCUGUGAAAUCUUUAGUCUGCAGACAGACAUUCUUUUUUUCUCUCUCUGUCUUAUUGCGCAUUUUAUCUGCACUUUUCAUUACUGUGGCUAAUUUCUUUUGGCACUUUGAGACUGUUGUUACUGAGGUCCAGGAUCAGCACUUUGGGGAUCCAGUGGGUUAUCCAGCUGAGUGCUGGAGAGAUGUCUCCCUGCAGCACUGGCAGAAGUUGUAUGAAGUAUCAUGUGUCUGUUUAGGUUGCUCUUUAUCCAAAUCUUCGUCCACAUUCAGAACAGCCAAAUUGUUUUUGUCCUGUAUGAAUUAUCAUGUGUCUAUUCAGGUAACUCUUUAGUCCAAAUCUUUGACCACAUUCAGAACAACCAAAUGUUUUUUGUCCUAUAUGAUUUCUAAUGUGUUUCUUCAGAGUACUCUUUUGUUUCAAUCUUCUACUCUGAUCAAAACAGCUAAAUGGUUUUAUGCUUGCUUGUCUCUCCUUGUGUUGCUCUGAGUUGUUCAUGUGACCAGAU